AUAUCUAAUUUUCAAAGAAAUAAAUUAUAAUAACUCUGUUCUUAUCAGCUUAAUAUCUGAUAUGUUAGGCAAUGCCUAACUCAUAUAUUAAACUGAUUUUUGGCCUUCGGCCCUGGGAUUGAAGCUUGCUUCGCCCUGGCCACCACGGGUUGUCUCGGUAUUGCACUACAUCCGAGUACGGCCCUCUUCCC